AUAGAAUAAUAUAUUUUCUAUAUUGUUAAAUUUGCUGCUAAUUACAGAGUUUGUCUAGAAAAAGGAUUUCUCUUGCUGUUCCUCUUACUUCUCUAAAUAGCAUUUUUUUUUUCAGAUUAUAAAAGUAAUGCAGGCUGGGCGCGGUGGCUCUUGCCUGUAAUCCCCGCACUUUGGGAGGCCAAGGCGGGCAGAUCACUUGUGAUCGGGAGUUUGAGACCAGUUUUCACCAGAGACAUGGUGAAACCCUGUCUCUACUAAAAAUACAAAAAAAUUAGGCAGAUGUGGUGGCAUGCGCCUGUAAUCCCAGCUCCUCUGGAGGUUGAGGCAGGAGAAUCACUUGAACCUGAGAAUCAAAGGUUUCAGUGAAACAAGAUCACACCACUGCAUUCCAGCCUGGGCAACAGAAUGAGACUCUGUCUCAAAAAGAGAGAAAAAAAGAAAGAAAGAGAGAGAGGGAAAGGAGGAAGGAAGGAACGAAGGAAAGAGAGAGAAAGAAAAGAAAGAAAGAAAGAGAAAGAAAAGCAAUGCAUGCUUCAACUAGAAUUGUCGUUUGUUGCUCUUUGGAAUAUAAAUGGGCAUAGCCACUUUGGGGAAACAUUUGGCAAUCUAAAUGUUAAAGGCACACAUACCUCUGACUCAGCAAUCUCACUCUGGGGUUUAUACCCAAUAGAAAUAGAUGUUUACAUCCAUCAAAAGACGGAAGCGUCCUUUGGUGGAUGCGAGUGCAAGGAUGUUCAUGGCGAUUUUAUUUAUAACAGCCCCAGAUUGGAAACAACCUGAAUAUCCAACAGUAGAAUGGUGGAAGUAACCUGUAAUAUAUUCAUACCCUGGAAUACUGCAGAACAAUGAAGAACAAGCUGCAGCUACGUACAACAUGGAUGUCCUCAAGAGACGUUCUGCUGUCCUUGAAGUGCGGGGAGUACCUCCUAGGCUGUGUGCAGCGGCCCUGCCUGAGGAGGGAGAGAGCUGUUCACCAAUAUAGAUCUGAAUCUCACCACCCUGGGAGGAAACAGACAUUUGGGGUCAUCUCCUAUGUGAGCACCACGAAGGAGGAAGACAAAGGCAAAAGAAUGUGGUCCUCCUCACUGGGUGCUGAGUCAUGAGCCUGAUGAUGACUGGAGUUUGCUAAGCCCUUCCAUCCCUUCUGCCACUCGAGACCACGGCGUUCCUCCCCCUGGAGGAUGCAGCAGCAAAGCACCAUCUUGGAAGUAGGGAACAGCCCUUGGCGGACAAACAAACCUGCUGGCGACUUGGUCUUGGACUUUACAGCCUCCAGAACUGCAAGAAAACACAUUUCUCUUUUUUAUAAAUGACCCAAUCUCAGGUAUUUUGUUAUAGCGACAAAAAUGAACUAAGACAGAGUUUUUUCCAAGAAGAAGACCCUUAAAACUUCUCCAAAGCAGAUGGGUCUCCUUGGAGUAGAAAGCUCCCCCAACAUCAGUGAGAUUCCAGAAGGAGCAUUACGAUCAUGUGUCAGGGAAGGGAGUGAAGCUUCGAGUGGGCUCUGAUUAGAUGCUCUAAAGCCCAGCCUCAUUCUGGGUUCUGCAGCUGAAGAGGAUUUGGGGUAACAAAGGGCUUUCCGUUGCUUGAAAAGCAAAAAUAAAAAGAAGAAAGCUCAUAUGUCAAUAAGGCAAGUAAUUAAGAAAGUAGGUGCUUUUAAAAGUGGGUAAUGGCAGGAGAAUAUGUGUACAAAGCUGGGUUAUUUUUAGUAUUGGGUGAAGGCACAUUAUUCUUUUGACAAUUAGAAUAAAGAAAGCAAUUAGAAACUCCAGGAAAAUGAAAAGCUGUGCAGGAAAAGCUGUAGUCCAAAUAUAAAGCAAAUGAAAUGUGGCAUGUCUUUGAGCAGUUGAUGGAGCAUGGAACUGAAUACAUUUGACCUUGACGCUAAGCGCCUCUUCUGAGCAGCCUGGGCAUCAGGACACUGGAUCCAAAGGGAAGGAAAUGUAAUUCUUGGAUAUUCCUUGGCUCGGCAGUGGCAGUGGACUGUACUCACAUAGGCAUGAGAAUGUAAUAUUGGUUUAUUGAUUUUUUUUAACUUUUACAGUCAAUUUAUGGACAAAAUGUGGCUGUAAGAAUUAUGACUUCAGAAUAGUAUCUAAAUGCUAUCAUCAUUUAAAAUGUAAAAGUAAGACUAUGAAAGACCUGAGAGGUAGAGAAAAGAUAGAAGUCGGUUUCUCGUAUUUUCACUCUGUGGAGUGGGAAGUAAGGUCUAUUAGUCAGAGCUUGAAGGUAACCAGCAGAAGAACCAAGAAUAUUUUAAUUUGCAAAAACCAGGAGGAUAAGGAGGGAUGAGAGGGAGUCAUACACGUGAACUAAAACCUUGUUUUUUCAUAGGAGAGUGAACGAGUUUCCUAGGACUGCCGUAAUGAAGUGUGGAUACUUUGUUAAUAUCCAUAGUUUGUUAGUGUGACUUGGCCCUGCAUGGUGGCUCAUGCCUGUAAUCCCAGCAUUUUGGGAGACAGAGGUGGGCAAAUCACCUGAGCGCAGGAGUUCAAGACCAGCCUGGUCAAUGUAGUGAAACCCCGUCUCCACUAAAAAUACAAAAAUUAGCCGGGCGUGAUGGCAGGUGCCUGCAAUCCCAGCUACUCAGGAAGCUGAGGCGGGAGAAUCGCUUGAACCUGGGAGGCGGAGGUUGCAGUGAGCUGAGAUCACACCACUGCACUCCAGCCUGGGUGAUAGAACAAGACUUCAUCUAAACAAAAACAAAAACAAUAUGACUCAAACAACAAAAAGUUAUCGUCUCACAGUGAAGGUGUUAGCAGGGUCGGUUUCUGUGGGGGAGGAUCUGUUCCAGGUCUCUCCCCUGGGAUCUGUUGGCUUGCUGGAGAUCUCUGAUGCUUCUUGGCUAGCAGAUACAUGGCUCCACCAGCUACUUUCAUCUUCCUUUAUGUUCUCCCUGUGUCUUCAUCUCGUCUUCCUUCUGUAUCCAAAUUUCCCCUCUUUAUGAAGACACUAAGAAUUCUAAAUUUUUAAUUUGGCCUUCCAAGUAGUUAUCAAGACACAGCUGUCAUGAUGGGAGAAUAGGACAUACUAAACCGUUUGUAGAAUUUAUAACUUUAAAAUAUUUACACAUAUGGCUGGGUGUGGUGGCUCAUGCCGGUAAUCCCAGCACUUUGGGAGGCCAAGACAGACAGAUCACCUGAGGUCAGGAGUUCAAGACCAGCCUGGCCAACAUGGUGAAACCCCGUCUCUACAAAAAUACAAAAAUUAGCAGGGCAUGGUGGUGCGUGCCUGUAAUCCCAGGCUGAGGCAGGAGGCGGAGAUUGUAAUGGGCCAAGAUGGUGCCACUGCACUCCAGCCUGGGCCGCAAGACCCAAUCUCAGGUAUUUUGUUAUUGCAAGACAAGAGCGAGCCUCCGUCUCAAAAAUAAAUAAAAUAUUUACAAAGAUGGUAUAUGGGCCUCCAAUUAAUUACACCCUGUCACGGGCCCUGCACAUGUGAUGCUCAGGCCUGACGUGUGUAACCACGGCAGCAGAAGGACCAGAAACCAUCAGUUGGUCUGGGAAGUGCACAGGAGAAGUCAAGGGCGGGAGAAGGAGGGCUGUAGUACUUUGUUAGCGGCCUGUCUGCCAAUGUGAUGCUCUGUUUUGCCAUUUGCAUGGUUCACUUCAAUAAA